GUGGACAACCUACCCUCCGGACGGGUAUAAACCCGGGAAACUGGGUAUAAUCCCCGAUAGAUCUCGGUCGCUGGAAAGCCCCGAGAUCGAAAGCUCCGGCGCCAGAGGAUGGGUCUGCGGCCUAUCAGGUAGUAGUGGGUGUAGCGUACCUACUAGCCUACGACGGGUACGGGUUGUGAGAGCAAGAGCCCGGAGAUGGAUUCUGAGACACGAAUCCAGGCCCUACGGGGUGCAGCAGGCGCGAAAACUUUACAAUGCCGGCAACGGCGAUAAGGGGACCUCGAGUGCCAGGUUACAAAUCUGGCUGUCGGGAUGCCUAAAAAGCAUUGCAUAGCAAGGGCCGGGCAAGACCG
rnacentral:rRNA from 1 species